AGCCUUCGCCUCAAGUUGGAGUUCAUGGUUUAUCCCCUACUGAAGCGAGGAAGAUGUUUGAAGACAUUGUUAAAGCUAAACGGGUCUUGCCACGAGAAGAGCAGAGUUCGUCAAAGCCCACCAACGUUACUGGCAGACCGAUUUCUUUUCUCACAAAGCCUCGAAAAAUUCUGAA